UGGGGAAUAUUGGACAAUGGGCGAAAGCCUGAUCCAGCAAUGCCGCGUGAGUGAUGAAGGCCUUAGGGUUGUAAAGCUCUUUUACCCGGGAAGAUAAUGACUGUACCGGGAGAAUAAGCCCCGGCUAACUCCGUGCCAGCAGCCGCGGUAAUACGGAGGGGGCUAGCGUUGUUCGGAAUUACUGGGCGUAAAGCGUACGUAGGCGGCUUUGUAAGUUAGAGGUGAAAGCCCGGGGCUCAACCCCGGAAUUGCCUUUAAGACUGCAUCGCUUGAACGUCGGAGAGGUGAGUGGAAUUCCGAGUGUAGAGGUGAAAUUCGUAGAUAUUCGGAAGAACACCAGUGGCGAAGGCGGCUCACUGGACGACUGUUGACGCUGAGGUACGAAAGCGUGGGGAGCAAACAGGAUUAGAUACCCCCGUAGUCC
rnacentral:rRNA from 1 species